CGACCAAACUGAGCAGUCGCGGAUGCAGCUCCGAAAGGACGCGUCCGAGGAAAGUCCGAGCUCCACAGGGCAGGAUAACGGCUAACGGCCGCCGGGGGCGACCCUAGGGAAAGUGCAACAGAAAUAUACCGCCGUAGCUGAUAUACGGUAAGGGUGGAAAGGCGAGGUAAGAGCUCACCAGCGCAUAGGAGACUAUGCGGCUCUGCAAACCCUAUCCGGAGCAACACCGAAACAAGACAAAAAAUUGGCCCGAUAUUGUCUUAAAGGGGUGGCACUGAGCUGUUUGCGGCAACGCACAGCCAAGAUAGAUGAUUGCUUACAACAGAACUCGGCUUACAGGUUUGGUCUUUUU
rnacentral:RNase_P_RNA from 1 species